rnacentral:rRNA from 1 species
CCUACGGGUGGCAGCAGUGAGGAAUAUUGGUCAAUGGACGCAAGUCUGAACCAGCCAUGCCGCGUGCAGGAAGACGGCUCUAUGAGUUGUAAACUGCUUUUGUACGAGGGUAAAUCCCGAUACGUGUAUCGGGUUGAAAGUAUCGUACGAAUAAGGAUCGGCUAACUCCGUGCCAGCAGCCGCGGUAAUACGGAAGGCCCGAGCGUUAUCCGGAUUCAUUGGGCUUAAAGGGAGCGUAGGCGGGCGUUCAAGUCAGCUGUAAAAUCGCGCGGCUCAACCGCGCCCCGCAGUUGAAACUGGACGCAUUGAGUUCACAACAGGCAGGCGGAAUUCGUGGUGUAGCGGUGAAAUGCAUAGAUAUCACGAGGAACCCCGAUUGCGAAGGCAGCCUGCCGGGGUGCGACUGACGCUGAGGCUCGAAGGUGCGGGUAUCAAACAGGAUUAGAUACCCCAGUAGUC